AAAAGUAAGUCUCAGUUCGGAUUGAAGGCUGAAAUUCGCCUUCAUGAAGCCGGAAUUGCUAGUAAUGGCAGGUCAGCAUACUGCCGUGAAUACGUUCCCGGGCCUUGUACACACCGCCCGUCACACCAUGAGAGUUGGGAAUACCCGAAGCCUGUGAGCUAACGCAAGAGGCAGCAGUCGAAGGUAGAAUCAAUGAUUGGGGUGAAGUCGUAACAAGGUAUC
rnacentral:rRNA from 1 species